UACAGAGGUCUCAAGCGUUGUUCGGAUUCAUUGGGCGUAAAGGGUGCGUAGGCGGUGAGGUAAGUCAGGUGUGAAAUCCCGGGGCUCAACUCCGGAACUGCAUUUGAUACUGCCUUGCUAGAGUACUGGAGAGGAGAUUGGAAUUUACGGUGUAGCAGUGAAAUGCGUAGAUAUCGUAAGGAAGACCAGUGGCGAAGGCGAAUCUCUGGACAGUUCCUGACACUGAGGCACGAAGGCCAGGGGAGCAAACAGG
rnacentral:rRNA from 1 species